CCACUUCUUAAUCUGAGAUUUUUUUUAUGCCAUUCUGAUGUUAGUGCCUUCAUUUUUGGCUAUUGGAUGGAUAAUAUUGUGCUAAUGGGUGGUGGAGAAAAAUUAUGUCAUGGGAAGCUAUGCGACGCAUCGAAGAAUCAUCGAGAAAAAUAUUCCGAAGAGUCCUUCUGCGUGAAGCAUCUCUUGAAUUUUUUUUUGAUGAUUGCC
rnacentral:lncRNA from 1 species